rnacentral:rRNA from 1 species
AGUGAACGCUGGCGGUAGGCCUAACACAUGCAAGUCGAACGGCAGCACAGUAAGAGCUUGCUCUUACGGGUGGCGAGUGGCGGACGGGUGAGGAAUACAUCGGAAUCUACUUUUUCGGGGGGGAUAACGUAGGGAAACUUACGCUAAUACCGCAGACGACCUACGGGUGAAAGCAGGGGAACUUCGGACCUUGCGCGAUUGAAUGAGCCGAUGUCGGAUUAGCUAGUUGGCGGGGUAAAGGCCCACCAAGGCGACGAUCCGUAGCUGGUCUGAGAGGAUGAUCAGCCACACUGGAACUGAGACACGGUCCAGACUCCUACGGGAGGCAGCAGUGGGGAAUAUUGGACAAUGGGCGCAAGCCUGAUCCAGCCAUACCGCGUGGGUGAAGAAGGCCUUCGGGUUGUAAAGCCCUUUUGUUGGGAAAGAAAAGCAGCAGGUUAAUACCCCGCUGUUCUGACGGUACCCAAAGAAUAAGCACCGGCUAACUUCGUG